rnacentral:rRNA from 1 species
UUUUUUAUUAGUUGUAUGCAAAUUUACACAUGCGAGCAUCCCCAAGCCAGUGAGAAUGCCCUUAAAAUCAACAUGAUAAGAAGGAGCGGGUAUCAAGUACACAUAAAAGUAGCUCAAUACACCUUGUACAACCACACCCCCACGUGAAACAGCAGUGAUAAAAAUUAAGCUAUAAACGAAAGUUUGACUUAGUUAUGCAAUUACUUAGGGUUGGUAAAUCUCGUGCCAGCCACCGCGGUCAUACGAUUAACCCAAAUUAAUAAACACCGGCGUAAAGAAUGUUUAAGAAUAUAACCAAACUAAGAUUAAAUUUUAUCUAUAUCGUAAAAAAUUCUAGAUAAACUAUAACUCAAUAAACGCAAGUAAUCUUAUAAUAUCCGAAUACAUGACAGCUCAGGCUCAAAGCUGAGCCGUAAACAUAAAUUAUUGAAUGAAACAAAAUAUUUCGCCAGAGGACUACCAGCAACAGCUAAAAACUCAAAGGACUUGGCGGUGCUUCACACCCACCUAGAGGAGCCUGUUCUGUAAUCGAUAAACCCCGAUAAACCUCACCACUAUUUGCUAAUACAGUUUAUAUACCGCCAUCUUCAGCGAACCUUAAUAAAGAAAAAAAGUAAGCACAAUCACAAGCAUAAAGACGUUAGGUCAAGGUGUAGCCAAUAAAGUGGGAAGAAAUGGGCUACAUUUUCUUAACAAAGAACACCCAAACGAAAACUAUUAUGAAAUUUAAUAGUGUAAG